GCAGAGACCAUAUCUUAUCACUGAAUUCUCAUUAUCCAGUGCUUGGCACUCCAAUAAUACUUGCCUGUGGACAGAGAAUGUGGCCAAUGUGACAUAAACUUGUAGAGAUACGAACCAGAUCACUAGCUGGAUGAUCACAGGCUUUCUCUAGGUUUCCUGGCAGUGAGCUAACUGUGCUGACCCAUGGCCCGCACACCUAUCCCAGGGUUGCUGAGGAGAACCUGGAGCCACACCCAUCCUCCUUGGCUGGCCCUUCUGUCUGUGAGUUCCAUCCCGCACUGUGUGAUGUCUGCAAGGUAUUUGCCUAAAGGUUUCUUUUCCCAGUUUUUAUAAUGGUUCCAUGCAUGUUUGAAAAACAUUUAUUUUCUCUGUCUCAAAAUUCUGUCUUUACAAAAUUGUCUCUUACCUGACAAGAUUUGUAAAUCAAAAAUGUCAGAAUGAGGAGUCAUUUAAAAAAUGAAAAUGCAUGCAUUUUAAUUUAAUACACAUAAAUAUACAUUCAUUUGCCAAUCUUUUGAUGUAGGGCCAAGGCCUUUUCCUUACAUCUAGCUACAUCAGUUGGAGUUUAGUUGGCCUUUCUUGUAUAAAUCACUGCUAGACUCCGUUGCCUGUAAUUUCCAUUUUGGGUUUCUUUAUAGUGGAAUACGAAUGCAGAGAAACUUGUGAAGGAUUCAGGUUUUCUAGGAUUCAUAUCUAUUUUUUUUUUUUUUACAGUUAUCUUGCACACAUUUAAUCUGACAGCAAAUUCUUACAAUGAUUUAUCCUUACUGAAUCUUUACAAAGUAUUCAGCUAGUUUUCCAGAAAUUGUUAUUUUACAAAUUCAUAUUCAUAUUUCACAUUCAUGUUCUUAUUUACUGGCUUAUAAAAUAUUCAGGUUAGGAAGUUAUAUUAAUGAGAACUAGCAUAAGCAGGUUUGGAACCACUUACCUAGUGAGAGCAAGAACAGGUGAACAUAGAGGAGGGGUUGACUAGCACCUAGCUUGCAAUAUGUCAAGGACAAAGACAUUUAUUACAGAAAGAAUAGAGAACAUCAGUUAACCCAACAAAUCGGUUGUGUGGAAUUCAAGGAGUUAAAUGUGCUAAUAUGGUAUAUAAGUUCUAUUAAUUACAUAUUUUAAGUUCCAUAUGUUUUUCUCUUCUUGAUCUCUUAGUUCUGAAACAGAUGAUUUUAAUUUAUCAUUUUCUCUGAGUAAUAAAUACAUCCUGCAGUUAGUGUACAUCCUGAAGCUCUGCUAGAUGCAAAAAGAGGGCAGCAUUUAAUAACUCUGGAUACAGACUGGAAUCCCCUUUCAAAAAUCAACUUAAUGCCCAAUGAAUCAUGGAACAGUACAUCAAAAACUAAUGAUGUAAU